GAUGAACGCUGGCGGCGUGCCUAAUACAUGCAAGUCGAGCGAACGGACGAGGAGCUUUCUUCCCUGAUGUUAGCGGCGGAAGGGUGAGUAACACGUGGAUAACCUCCCUAUAAGACUGGGAUAACUUAGGGAAACCGGAGCUAAUACCGGGUAAUAUUUUUAACCGCAUGGUUCAAGAGUGAAAGACGGUGUUGCUGACACUUAUACAUGGAUCCGCGCUGCAUUAGCUAGUUGGUAAGGUAACGGCUUACCAAGGCAACGAUGCAUAGCCGACCUAGGAGGGUGACCGGCCAAACGGGAACUGAGCAACGGUCCAGACUCCUACGGGGGGCAGCAGGAGGGAAUCUUCGGAAAUGGGCGAAAGCCUGACGGAGAAACGCGGCGUGGGUGAUGAAGGUCUUCGGAUCGUAAACCCCUUUUAUCGGGGCAGAAGAUAUGUGUAAGUAAAGGGGCAAAGCUUGACGGUACCUAAUUAGAAAGCCACGGCUAACUACGUG
rnacentral:rRNA from 1 species